rnacentral:rRNA from 1 species
UACAGAGGUCCCAAGCGUUGUUCGGAUUCACUGGGCGUAAAGGGUGCGUAGGCGGUCGGGUAAGUCUGAUGUGAAAUCUCACAGCUUAACUGUGAAACUGCAUUGGAUACUAUUCGGCUUGAGAGUUGGAGGGGGGACUGGAAUUCCCGGUGUAGCGGUGAAAUGCGCAGAUAUCAGGAGGAACACCGGUGGCGAAGGCGGGUCUCUGGGCCGAUACUGACGCUGAGGAGCGAAAGCGUGGGGAGCGAACAGG